UACGUAGGGGGCGAGCGUUGUCCGGAAUUAUUGGGCGUAAAGAGCGCGUAGGCGGCCAAGCAGGUCCGUUGUGAAAACUGGAGGCUUAACCUCCAGACGUCGACGGAAACCGCGCGGCUAGAGUCCGGAAGAGGAGAGUGGAAUUCCUGGUGUAGCGGUGAAAUGCGCAGAUAUCAGGAAGAACACCAAUGGCGAAGGCAGCUCUCUGGGACGGUACUGACGCUGAGACGCGAAAGCGUGGGGAGCGAACAGG
rnacentral:rRNA from 1 species